rnacentral:rRNA from 1 species
CAGUCGCCGCGGGAAUACGUAGGGUGCAAGCGUUAAUAGGAAUUACUGGGCGUAAAGCGUGCGCAGGCGGUUAUAUAAGACAGAUGUGAAAUCCCCGGGCUCAACCUGGGAACUGCAUUUGUGACUGUAUAGCUAGAGUACGGCAGAGGGGGAUGGAAUUCCGCGUGUAGCAGUGAAAUGCGUAGAUAUGCGGAGGAACACCGAUGGCGAAGGCAAUCCCCUGGGCCUGUACUGACGCUCAUGCACGAAAGCGUGGGGAGCAAACAGGAUUAGAUACCCCGGUAGUCCCUGUCUCUUAUAC